GCUCUGGGACUUGAGAGGCUUCAAACACGACAUGGAGUUUGUCUUCUUUCUCUCCUGGAUCAGUGAGUAACACAACCAGACUUUCAACUUCCGGUUUGAGGUUGUUGUUUUUUUUCACGGUUGUUUUCAGUUCGGACCGUAGCCAGGCCGCUAGCAUUGAGUUAGCCGUGAUGCUAACGCUGCUGCUAGUCGACACUAGGAGCCAGACAAACAAAUGAUUCGCCAGUCCAGUCCGACUAUUGAUGCCUCAGUGUAAGUGGGUGCUGGGCCACACUGAACACUGAGCUCUGGGUCACAUCAUUGCAGAAGUGGCUGGCCGCAGAGAGAGGACAGCAUGCUCAUGUUUUUUGCACAAAGGAGUGAAGGACAGCCUGGCCCUGGGUGUAAUCUUUGAUGAUGAAACUGCAAAUUGAAGACAGAUCUCUAUAUUGCGCCCCCGCCCCGUGAGAGCGUCACACAAGACCUGACAAGUGGAAGCUGCUGUGAAAAGUCUCUGACACUUGCAACUUUGAAGUGACCAAGUGAUUCCUCUUCAUCAGCGCAUGAAUAACCCUGAGUUACUCAAGAAUGUCCUGUAAACUGCCGACCCAGUCCAGAGGGGAGAAAAUAAACGCUGGGCUCAUCUUGA